rnacentral:rRNA from 1 species
UGGGGAAUAUUGCACAAUGGGCGCAAGCCUGAUGCAGCCAUGCCGCGUGUAUGAAGAAGGCCUUCGGGUUGUAAAGUACUUUCAGCGGGGAGGAAGGGAGUAAAGUUAAUACCUUUGCUCAUUGACGUUACCCGCAGAAGAAGCACCGGCUAACUCCGUGCCAGCAGCCGCGGUAAUACGGAGGGUGCAAGCGUUAAUCGGAAUUACUGGGCGUAAAGCGCACGCAGGCGGUUUGUUAAGUCAGAUGUGAAAUCCCCGGGCUCAACCUGGGAACUGCAUCUGAUGCUGGCAAGCUUGAGUCUCGUAGAGGGGGGUAGAAUUCCAGGUGUAGCGGUGAAAUGCGUAGAGAUCUGGAGGAAUACCGGUGGCGAAGGCGGCCCCCUGGACGAAGACUGACGCUCAGGUGCGAAAGCGUGGGGAGCAAACA